UGAGGCAAGGAGCAACUUUUGCAUUUGUGCUGCUGCUGCUGAUUCCAGCCAGGCAUCACAAUCGAGCAGCGGCGAAGAGAUUGAUCGAUUGAUAGAUAAGCUGCGGAGCACAGACUCCCAACUGCUACCACAGAUAGUUGCGGAGAAUGUCCUGGCGUUUGAUAGUAAGUUCUGGCUUCGACUGGCUACCAGGACAGACCUUUGUAAAUCGGAAGAUGAUAAGAUGGAUCUUGAAGAGCUUGCAUCCAACAUAAUGCAGCUAGUCGAGCGCAUUGUACAGAAGACAGAUGUUUACACAUAUCUGUUAUCACCCAAUUUUUGUCUGAAAGAAUGUUUAUUUGUCUGAAUGAACAGGAAAAGAUUGAAACUUCCACAGAUGUGCUUAUGGCGAUUCUAGAGCCAGUCGCAGGCUCCAAAAACGAAGAAAUUGUCUGGCCGCCUCGUGAUC